rnacentral:rRNA from 1 species
GGGAUUGCCCUAGUAACGGCGAGUGAAGCGGCAACAGCUCAAAUUUGAAAGCUGGCUCUCGGGCCCGCAUUGUAAUUUGCAGAGGAUGCUUCUGGCGACGCGCCUUCCGAGUUCCCUGGAACGGGACGCCAUAGAGGGUGAGAGCCCCGUCCGGUCGUGCGCCUAGCCUCUGUGAAGCUCCUUCGACGAGUCGAGUAGUUUGGGAAUGCUGCUCAAAAUGGGAGGUAUACGUCUUCUAAAGCUAAAUACCGGCCAGAGACCGAUAGCGCACAAGUAGAGUGAUCGAAAGAUGAAAAGCACUUUGAAAAGAGAGUUAAAAAGUACGUGAAAUUGUUGAAAGGGAAGCGCUCAUGACCAGACUUGGGCUGGCCCGAUCAUCCGGCGUUCUCGCCGGUGCACUCGGGCCGCCCAGGCCAGCAUCAGCUUUCGCCGGGGGAUAAAGGCGGCGGGAAUGUGGCUCCCUCGGGAGUGUUAUAGCCCGCCGUGCAAUACCCUGGUGGGGGCUGAGGUUCGCGCGUAUGCACGGAU